rnacentral:rRNA from 1 species
UACAGGGGGUGCAAGCGUUGCUCGGAAUCACUGGGCGUAAAGCGUACGCAGGCGGACUGUUAAGUCGGGUGUGAAAGCCCGGGGCUCAACCCCGGACUGCACUCGAAACUGGCAGUCUUGAAUACGGGAGAGGUGAGUGGAAUUCCUGGUGUAGAGGUGAAAUUCGUAGAUAUCAGGAGGAACACCGGUGGCGAAAGCGGCUCACUGGCCCGAUAUUGACGCUCAUGUACGAAAGCGCGGGGAGCAAACAGGAUUAGAAA